rnacentral:rRNA from 1 species
CAGCAGCCGCGGUAAUACGAAGGGUGCAAGCGUUAAUCGGAAUUACUGGGCGUAAAGCGUGCGUAGGUGGUCGUUUAAGUCCGUUGUGAAAGCCCUGGGCUCAAUCUGGGAACUGCAGUGGAUACUGGGCGACUAGAGUGUGGUAGAGGGUAGCGGAAUUCCUGGUGUAGCAGUGAAAUGCGUAGAGAUCAGGAGGAACAUCCACGGCGAAGGCAGCUACUGGACCAACACUGACACUGAGGCACGAAAGCGUGGGGAGCAAACAGGAUUAGAUACCCUGGUAGUCCACGCCCUAAACGAUGCGAACUGGAUGUUGGGUGCAAUUUGGCACGCAGUAUUGAAGCUAACGCGUUAAGUUCGCCGCCUGGGGAGUACGGUCGCAAGACUGAAACUCAAAGGAAUUGACGG